rnacentral:rRNA from 1 species
GAUGAACGCUGGCGGCGUGCCUAAUACAUGCAAGUCGAGCGAAUGGAUUAAGAGCUUGCUCUUAUGAAGUUAGCGGCGGACGGGUGAGUAACACGUGGGUAACCUGCCCAUAAGACUGGGAUAACUCCGGGAAACCGGGGCUAAUACCGGAUAACAUUUUGAACCGCAUGGUUCGAAAUUGAAAGGCGGCUUCGGCUAUCACUUAUGGAUGGACCCGCGUCGCAUUAGCUAGUUGGUGAGGUAACGGCUCACCAAGGCAACGAUGCGUAGCCGUCCUGAGAGGGUGAUCGGCCACACUGGGACUGAGACACGGCCCAGACUCCUACGGGAGGCAGCAGUAGGGAGUCUUCCGCAAUGGACGAAAGUCUGACGGAGCAACGCCGCGUGAGUGAUGAAGGCUUUCGGGUCGUAAAACUCUGUUGUUAGGGAAGAACAAGUGCUAGUUGAAUAAGCUGGCACCUUGACGGUACCUAACCAGAAAGCCACGGCUAACUACGUGCCAGCCGCCGCAGUAA